AUUAAACACCCGAUUCGAACGUUAUCACUCGAUUGAAUGGGGCGUUAUCAGCGGUUAUCAGCCCAUAGAAAUGGGCCAGGAGGGGCCUCCUGUGCCUACUAGUAGGCUCAGAAGGCCGUGAUCAUCCAUCCAAAUGGUUGAUCACCCACAAAUAUACAAGAGAAGACUCCAGAUCCAAUCCCAGAAUUCCUGCUCACCUGUAAUCGGAAGUCUACUGGACGAAUGCGGGAACGUUGCGAUAUUUCCUGCUUAAUAUUUUCAGGCACAAUGAAUGAUAUUAAGGGCAGGUGCACCACAUUGGGGGAAGAUGCAAAGAAAAAAUACAUUCAAGAGGCAGCAGCACUGAGGGCACAUGGGCAGGCACAGGACACUAAACCCUGAGAUGGAGGCAAUUUGUGCUGUGUCUGCCGCAUCCAUUUUUAUGAUAAGAAGAAGAAUGCAAGAAAGAAGUGGCAUUCAUGGUCUCAGUGCACAGUGUGCCAAUCAUGGUCACACACAGCAUGUGGCUUUAAAAAGAACAAGUGCGUUCACUGCCAGUGUCAAGACACCAUGCUAACACCCUGAAGAUGUAUCUUGUUACUUGUUUGAGUUGUUUUUACUGUGUUGACGGCCCCCAACCCAUCCAUACAAACACACACACACAAUACAUACAUAUGCUGCAAAUUUAUUGUAAUGACCACACUUCACACGUAAGAAGAAAAUUGUGAUCUUUUUGUUAUUUUCAUUCACCCCAUUUUUAUUUAUUAUUGUUGUUUGUUGGCACCAUCAAUGUGUUCUCCUUUAUACAGGACUUAUGUGGGGAACAAUAAAGUUAUAUUGUACUGAA